CUUUGUUCGAGUGUGCUAUAUUUGUACGUGUUCGACAGGGCGAUAAGGAAAAGGCUGCUGGGCACAAGGUGAUAUCAUUAAUGGACCGAUCAAAGUCAGACUCGAUGCCCAGUGACCAGAUCGGGUUCAUUACAUUCGUUUGCCUGCCAGGCUUCAGUACAUUGUGCGAGCUCUUCCCAAACACUCUGCCUUUAAUCGAUGGACUCAAUGAGAACCUCCAUGCGUGGAACAUAGUUAAGAGUGGGCAGCAGCCUCAGCUCUGGAAUGUUGCUGCCUCCCACUGCAAAUCCCAGUUCCCGGCAAAAGAAGAUGCAUCAACUAGCACAGCCACUUCAAAAAAAGACAAUUUAUAAAUUUCUCUACUCCAUGGAAGUUACUUGUUAGUGACAAGUACUCCAACGCCUAGAGUGCAUAUUAUAUUCAACGUUGUUAUUGUUUGUUAAGCGAUGUACGUAGUGGCUUCUACAUUUUCCCUUGCACAUCGCACAAGACCUCAUCAAAUCGGAACUGAUCUCCGUGUAUGUUUUGUUUGCUCAUUACUUUUAUACCUAGCUGUUCAUCAAUGCCUGUUACAUUAAAUCUGUUAUGUUUAAA